GACCCAGACUCCUACGGGAGGCAGCAGUGGGGAAUAUUGCACAAUGGGGGAAACCCUGAUGCAGCGACGCCGCGUGAGCGAUGAAGUAUUUCGGUAUGUAAAGCUCUAUCAGCAGGGAAGAAAAUGACGGUACCUGACUAAGAAGCCCCGGCUAACUACGUGCCAGCAGCCGCGGUAAUACGUAGGGGGCAAGCGUUAUCCGGAUUUACUGGGUGUAAAGGGAGCGUAGACGGCCGUUCAAGCCAGAUGUGAAAGCCCGGGGCUCAACCCCGGGACUGCAUUUGGAACUGUGGGGCUAGAGUGUCGGAGAGGCAGGCGGAAUUCCUAGUGUAGCGGUGAAAUGCGUAGAUAUUAGGAGGAACACCAGUGGCGAAGGCGGCCUGCUGGACGAUGACUGACGUUGAGGCUCGAAAGCGUGGGGAGCAAACAGGAUUAGAUACCCGGGUAC
rnacentral:rRNA from 1 species